GACGAACGCUGGCGGCGUGCUUAACACAUGCAAGUCGAACGGAAAGGCCCUGCUUUUGUGGGGUGCUCGAGUGGCGAACGGGUGAGUAACACGUGAGUAACCUGCCCCUUACUUUGGGAUAACUUCAGGAAACUCGGGCUCAUACCGGAUAGGAGCUCCUGCUGCAUGGUGGGGGUUGGAAAGUUUCGGUGGUUGGGGAUGGACUUGUGGUUUAUCAGCUUGUUGGCUGGGUAGUGGAUUAACAAGGCUUUGACGGGUAGCCGCCCUGAGAGGGUGACCGGCCACAGUGGGACUGAGGUACGGGCCGGACGCCUACGGGAGGCAGGGGUGGGGAAUUUUGCACAAUGGGCGGAAGCAGGAUGCAGCAACGCCGCGUGCGGGAUGACGGCCUGCGGGUUGGAAACCGGUUUCGCCUGGGACGAAGCUUGAGUGACGGUAAUGGGUAAAGAAGCACCGGCUAACUACGUG
rnacentral:rRNA from 1 species